CAUAGCUUACUACACUUAGUUAACCAAGUAAAUAAAUAAUAUAUUAAGGAUAUGUUGUAUGUUGCUUUUGUAUAACCCUCACGUUAUAGCCUCCACCCAGACAGUUUGAAACGGGUGCUAGACAUUAGACAACCAAGACAAUCCGUUGGAAAAACCUAGGCCUAUUUAUAGCUAUUUCGAGUUGAUUGCCCAAAGUGUCGCUUCGAUUGGUCUGAGGUGUUUUAGCCCCAAGGGCUUUGUCCCCACUAGUCUAGCCUAAUGCCCAGAGAGUUCAGUACUAGUUCUGUUCCGUGUAUGGAUUGUUUCUGUGCAUCCAUUUCGAUGACCCUCAGCUCGGAGUGGAAAAAGUAAUGGAGGGUAACUGGCACUCCCUUCAUAUAGGGUCAUGGCUAGAAGGGUUUCAGCUUUUGACUUUUCGUAGCAGGCUAGGAUAACUUGUGCAGCAUGUUAGGAGAAUUAACAUAGCAGGUUAGGAGAAUUAGGUUAAGGUUAGAAAAAGGGUUAGAGUUAGCAAAAAUGCAAAAAACAAUCUACUUUGUAUGUUAAUUUGACAAAAGCUGGGUCCCUUCUAGCCAUGACCCUAAUAUAGCCUAUCUCUCCAGGGUUUUUAUAUCAGUAUAUCUGGUGUAGAGGUUAUGGUGACCCCUUCACUUGUUAAUACGUUUACAAAAAGGCACUCAGGCUUUUUCAAGGACUCAUUUUAGGCAUAACAUCCGCUCGUACAGUCAGUUGCUGAUGUGUUAAUAACCAUGUAAUUUCAGAUUAUAGUUUUAUUUAGGUUUUAUUUCUCUCCUAACUUGAGAGAAGAAACAAACCACAUUUACCUUUCCUUUGAACUGGGCAUGGUGAUGGAUUUUUUAUAGACCUAAAUGUUAUUUUAGACCUGUUAGAUUGGACCUCAUUGGACCUCCAUGUGCAGCCAAAAUCACUAUCUGUCAUCAUGGCAGACUAGGACAAAUCAAUUGUCUCCUUUGUUGAAAA